GGGGAGGUGCUCCAGUGGACAACGAGAGCAGACUGUAAAUCUGCCGCCCUUCGGGCUACGGAGGUUCGAAUCCUCCCCUCCCCA
rnacentral:tRNA from 1 species